rnacentral:rRNA from 1 species
AUUGAACGCUGGCGGCAUGCUUUACACAUGCAAGACGAACGGUAACAGGUUAAGCUGACGAGUGGCGAACGGGUGAGUAAUGCAUCGGAACGUGCCCGAUCGUGGGGGAUAACGCAGCGAAAGCUGCGCUAAUACCGCAUACGAUCUGAGGAUGAAAGCGGGGGACCGUAAGGCCUCGCGCGAUCGGAGCGGCCGAUGUCAGGUUAGGUAGUUGUUGGGGUGAAGGCCCACCAAGCCGACGAUCUGUAGCGGGUCUGAGAGGACGACCAGCCACACUGGGACUGAGUAACGGCCCAGACGCCUACGGGAGGCAGCAGUGGGGAAUUUUGGACAAUGGGCGAAAGCCUGAUCCAGCAAUGCCGCGUGCAGGAAGAAGGCCUUCGGGGUGUAAACUGCUUUUGUACGGAGCGAAAAGGUCCUUUCUAAUACAAGGGGCUCAUGACGGUACCGUAAGAAUAAGCACCGGCUAACUACGUGCCAGCAGCCGCCGUAAGAC